rnacentral:rRNA from 1 species
AUUGAACGCUGGCGGCAUGCCUUACACAUGCAAGUCGAACGGCAGCACGGGUGCUUGCACCUGGUGGCGAGUGGCGAACGGGUGAGUAAUAUAUCGGAACAUACCUUAUUGUGGGGGAUAACGCAGCGAAAGCUGUGCUAAUACCGCAUAAUCCCUAAGGGGGAAAGCGGGGGACCGUAAGGCCUCGCGCAAUUAGAGCGGCCGAUACCUGAUUAGCUAGUUGGUGAGGUAAAGGCUCACCAAGGCAACGAUCAGUAGCUGGUCUGAGAGGACGAUCAGCCAAACUGGGACUGAGACACGGCCCAGACUCCUACGGGAGGCAGCAGUGGGGAAUUUUGGCCAAUGGGGGCAACCCUGAUCCAGCAAUGCCGCGUGAGUGAAGAAGGCCUUCGGGUUGUAAACUGCUUUUGUACAGAACGAAAAGGUUUCUACGAAUACUAGGAGCUCAUGACGGUACUGUAAGAAUAAGCACCGGCUAACUACGUGCCAGCCGCCGCGGUAA